CUGGUAACUUUGCUUCUUCUUUUUAUUUUUUUUUUUAAAAAAAGUUUUGAAUCUUAUGAUAUUCUUUGGAAAAUGAAACAAACUUGGAAGGUUUAAACAGUAUCCCGAUACCAUUCAACCCUCGCCCACAUCUAUAUAUUUUCGAGAUGUUUGGGCUCUCAUCGGCGUCGAUUCGGGUACCCACUUCAUGUAUUCAUGCCUAAGUUGCAAGCCAAUCGCAAGAAACAAAAAAAGAAAGAAAGAAAAAACAGAUUUGGAAAUCACCUUCCGAUAACUUUCGACUUGAUUUCUUUUGAUAUUCAGUGUGCGUAAUAUGUUUGUGUUUGCGUAUUGUGCGUAUAUUGUCUCUAUUUUCGUAACCUUUACAGAGAUUAAGAACUAUGGCUUUAUAGCUGAAAAGAAAAAAAGAAAAAGGAAAAUAAAUUAAAAAUAGAAUUUUAAUUCCCUUCUAUUUGCUGUUCUGCUGUUUUUUGUUUGUAUUUGCUGCCGUGUUCGUCCUUCUUGCAGUUACGGGGUGCGUUGGCAUCAUACGGAGGCUGUGCUGGCACGGGCGUGGCUGCUGGAGGGUACGGAGUGGGGCUGGGGGUUGUACGACGCCUGGAGGCUGCGGUACUAAGCAAGGGCUAGGGUUUCUGAACUUUGGUUAGGUAUUGGGCUUAUUGGGCCGUCUGGAUUUUGGGUUAGACAUUAGUUUGGGCUUUGAUUGGUUAUUGGUUUGUAAAAGGACACUUAAUUAUUGGGUUUUUUUUUUUUGGUUUAUUUUUUGUCUUGUUUUGUGUUUGCAUAGGCCCGGGCCAAAAUUGGUUAUUACAGCUGCCCUUCUUUGCUCAUUUUCGUGUAAGGAGAAUAGAGCAAAGACUAUAAAAAGGCCAAUUUUGUCCGGGUUGGCUGAGUCUUGGCUCUUCUUAGUGCUUCUUUUCUUCAAGUAGCUUCAAUAUGCUCCGCUGCAACUUCAAGGAGACAUGGUUCGUGUGUCUUUAUCCUGCUCUACUACAACCUCAGGGAGAUAAGAAUUGUGACUUCGAUUUGCUCCACUGUAACUUCAGAGAGACAAGAUCUUGCAAUCUUCGGCCUGUUGCCCUACUACUUAGGGGGUUAAGGUUGUUUUCUUCGAUCUGCUCCACUAGAGACGAGACCUGCAAUCUUCAGCCUAUUCCACUACAACUUUAGGGAGAUAGGACGGUGGCUUAAAUCAGCUUCACUGCAACUUCAGGAAGACAUGAUUCGCCGUUUUCGAUCUGCUCUACUGCAACUUCAGGGAAACAAGAUCUCCAAUUUUCAGCCUACUCCACUAAACUUUAGGGAGCUAGGAUGGUGGCUUAAAUUUGCUUUACUACAACUUCAGGAAAACAAGAUUCGCCGUCGUAUAUCUGCUCCACUGUAAUUUCAGGGAGACAAGAUCUGUAGGAUUCGCCAAUGCCGCUACACCGUCUUCUAAAGACAUGAUUUGUAGAAUUGGUUUCCUGUAUCUAUGUUUAUGCCAAAUAAUUAGGGUGCCAUGAUAAAAAUGAAUCAAAUGUCCCUAACUAGAUGUGGUGCUUAUGUCAAAUAAUUAGAAUGCUAUGAUCGAAAUAAAUCAAGUGGUCCUAACUAAAUGAAUGAUUAUGGAUGUAGAAAUGUCAUGAGAGUAAUUCCUUUUUUAAAUGCUUAAGGUAUCAUUGCUCAUAGUUCAUCCGUGUUCUAUCAUUGAUGUGCUAUCGCGUCUUCUUGCUUAGCAGUUAUCUUUGACAGAAAGUUUGAAGAAAUAGUCCCAACUUGGACUACUCUUUUUCCAGUGUUUCCAACUUUUGAACUUGGUUAGUCCUGACUAAUGGCCCUAUUUCAGGUCCUUGUACUAUUUAGAGACUUUCCACAGUAAUAUGCAUAACUUCUUUUGUGUGAAUAUUAUAAAAAAUCGUGAUUUCAACAAAAAUGCUCGAAAGAGAUUAUCAUAAUGGACAGAAUAGAAUUUUAUUGAGCGAAACUCGAAGUGAAUACAUUAAACAGGAUAGUAAAUCUGCUAAGGCACAAAAUAAAAUGAGAAAAGAGGUGCCCCAGAUAUCGCAGCACGAGUUUUUCUAUUCUAAUUUCUCAAAGGCUCCUUCGAACCAAAUGUGUGUUCAGGAGAUCCCGCGUAUUUUGUUGAUGCUCCAAGAUGUACUGUUAUUCCCUCUUGUUAAUUUUGGGAGGACAAGACUACCACAUGCCCCACAUUCAAAAUUUGAGCUGCCCAUUUUCGGGUUUUCAACUCAAAAACCCCUUUGGUCUCAAAGUGCUCUUUGCGGGUUUUCACCUUGGCCUUUCCAUCUUUUUUUUUUGGUCUCAGAGCACCCUUUUCGGGUUUUCACUCUGACCUUUCUUUCUUUAAGUAAAAUACUUCUUGACCGAAUUCGAAUUUACAGGAUUGGGGAAGUUUCUACCAUCCAUCUCGGCUAGAAUCAAUGCUCCUCUGGAGAAAGCUUUCUUCACCACGUAAGGCCCCUCCCAAUUAGGCAUCCAUUUUCCUCUAAAAUCCUUCUGUAUGGGAAGAAUCUUUUUCAAGACCAGGUCCCCCUCAUGAAACUCUCUUGGGCGGACCUUCUUGUCAGAAGCCCGCAUCAUUCAUUUUUGGUACAUCUGACCAUGAUGAAUAACUUUUAGCCUCUUUUCCUUAAUCAAGUUCAAUUGAUCUUAUUGAGACUGGAUCCAUUCUGCUUCAUCCAACUUUAGUUCCGACAGCACUCGAAGGGAUGGGAUCUCGACUUCGAUGGGCAAAACUGCUUCCAUUCCGUAGACCAAAGAGAAAGGCGUUGCCCCAGUUGAGGUUCUGACUGAUAUUCAAUAAGCAAAGAGGGAAAAUGGUAAUUUCUCAUGCCAAUCUUUGUAGGUCUCGGUCAUCUUCCCCACAAUCUUCUUAAUGUUUUUAUUGGCCGCUUCCACUGCCUCAUUUAUUUUUGGGCGAUAUGGUGAUGAGUUAUGGUAUCUGAUCUUGAAUUGACUGCAGACUUCCGCUAUCAUACUGUUGUUCAAGUUUAAUGCAUUGUCAGAUAUGAUCCUCUUCGGUAUUCCAUAUCGGUAUAUGAUCUCUUUUUUCAGGAAUUUGCUCACUGCCGAUUUUGUAACAUUGGCAUAUGAAGCGGCUUCUACCCAUUUGGUGAAGUAGUCUAUAACCACAAAGAUGAAUCGAUGCCCAUUGGAAGCCUUCGGCGAUAUUGGUCCAAUCGCAUCCAUACCCCACAUAAAGAAUGGCCAUGGGGAAACCAUGACAUGCAGUGGUGAAGGAGGCACAUGAAUUUUAUCUUCGUAGAUUUGGCACUUAUGGCAUCUCUUGGCGUAAUUGACACAGUCUCCUUCCAUAGUGGACCAAUAGUACCCGAAUCUCAUAAUUUGCCUGGCCAUUGUAAAGCCAUUAGCGUGCGUCCUACAGACGCCUUCAUGGACUUCUUCCAAGAUUUUCUUAGCUUCUACAGUGUCUACGCAUCUUAGUAGUACUUGAUCCUUUCUUCUUUUGUAUAGGAUCUCCCCAUCUAAGACAUAGUCGAUGGCCAACCUUCUCAGUGUCCUUUUGUCAUUCUCGCUUGCCUGGUCUGGGUACUCAUGAUUCUUCACGUAUUGCAAUAUAUCGUGAUACCAAGGGUGAUCAUCUUUUUCUUCAUCCUCUUCAAUAUUAUAACAGUAGGCCGGAGUUUCAUAAAUGCUCAUCCAGAUGGGUUUGACAUCUUGUUUGUUCACAUUGAUCAUAGAGGCUAAGGUAGCCAAAGCAUCGGCCAUCUGAUUUUCGUUCCGUGGAAGGUAGCAGAAGGUAACGUCAUCGAACUCUUUGACCAAUUUACGGACCAAUUUCUGAUAGUCGAUCAACUUGGGGUCUCUAGUCUCCCAUUCUCUCUUGAGUUGAUAAAUCACUAGCGCAGAAUCCCCAUACACCUCUAGCACUUUAAUCUUGCGUUCUAUGGCUGCACGGAUACCCAUGAUGCACGCUUCGUAUUCCGCCAUGUUAUUCGUACAAUCAAAAUCUAAUUUACUAGUAAAUGGAUAAUGAUAUCUGUUUGGGGAUACCAAGACUGCCCCGAUUCCAUUACCCACAGCAUUUGACACCCCAUCGAAGUUCAGUUUCCAGGGAAGUUCUUACGGAUCACCUUCUUCAGCGGUCACAACAUACAUCAUGUCUUCAUUCGGAAAAUUGAAGUUCAAAGGCUCGUAGUCUUCCAAAGCUCUACUAGCUAGAAAAUCUGCUAUUGCACUCCCUUUUACUGCUUUCUGGUUCAUAUAGACUAUGUCGAAUUCGGAGAGCAGAAUCUGUCAUCGGGCCAUCCUUCCAUUCAAAGCUGUUAACUCCAUCAUGUACUUUAAGGGAUUCAAUUUUGAGAUGAACCAAGUGGUGUGAUACAACAUAUAUUGCCUCAGCCUUCGGGUUGUCCAAAUUAGGGCACAACACAACUUCUCUAUCGGCGGGUACCUUGUUUCACAUUCCGUGAACUUUUUACUAAGAUAGUAAAUAGUUUUUUUUUUUCCUUCCUGACUCAUCAUGCUGACCCAAUACGCAACCCAUGAAGUUUUCAAAUACUACCAAAUACAGUAUCAAUGGCUUAUCGGGGUUAGGUGGUGUUAGUACCGGAGCGUUGGAUAAGUACUGUUUGACCUUGUCAAAAGCCCUUUGGCAUUCUUCAUCCCAUUCCCCUGGGUUGUGUUUCUUGAGAAGGCAGAAGAUAGGGUCGCAUUUCUUGGUUAGUUGUGAAAUGAACUGAGCGAUGUAAUUUAAUCUUCCUAGAAAGCCUCGAACCUCUUUCUGGGUAUGCGACGGAGAUAGCUCUUGUAUGGCUUUGACUUUGUCUGGAUCAAUCUCAAUCCCUUUCUCACUGACCACGAAUCCGAGAAGCUUUCCGGACUUGGCUCUGAAGGUACAUUUGGCUGGGUUGAGUUUUAGCUGAAACUUCCUCAACCUCAAGAAUAAUUUUCUCAAGACUUGUAUGUGCUCAUUCUCUGCUCGAGACCUUACGAUCAUAUCAUCGACAUAAACCUCAAUUUUUUAUGCAUCAUAUCGUGAAACAGGGUUACCAUGGCUCUUUGAUAUGUUGCCCCCACAUUCUUUAGUCCAAACGGCAUCACCUUAUAGCAGAACGUGCCCCACAUGGUUACAAAUGUGGUCUUCUCUAUAUCUCCAAGAUGCAUUUUGAUCUUGUUAUAUCCGGAGAAACCGUCCAUAAAUGAAAAUAGUGAGUGUCCUGCCGUGUUGUCCACUAGGGUGUCAAUAUGAGGCAGUGGAAAAUUGUCCUUCGGGCUGGCUUUGUUCAGAUCUCUGUAGUCCACACACAUUUGUAUUUUUCCAUCUUUCUUAGGGACAGGGACGAUGUUGGCUACCCAAUCUGAGUAUUUUACCACCUUCAGGAAUCCAGCGUCAAACUGCUUUCAAACCUCUUCUUUUAUUUUUAGCAAGACAUCGGGCCUCAUUCUUCAGAGUUUUUACUGAACUAGCUUACAUUCUUCCUUUAUGGGGAGCCUGUGCACCACGACAUCAGUGUCCAAACCAGGCAUAUCUUGGUACGACCAUGUAAAGACAUCUUUAAAUUUUUGAAGUAAUUCGAUAAGGUCUCACUUCAUCUCCAUGGUGAUACAAGUUCUGAUCUUCACCUCUUGACCCUCUCCUAAGCUCACAAUUUCUACUGAUUCUUUGUGAGGUAGGAUUUGUUUCUCGUCUUGUUUUACCAUCCUCAACAAAUCAAGAGAUAGGUUACAGUCUUGGCCAUCUUCAAAAUCUUGAGAAUCCUCUGUACACAUAUCUCGCUCAAAAGGAAAUUCUGAGUCACUAGCAUGUCACUCGUAUCAUUGAUAUCUGGGGACCUGUUAUGAGGGUGAAGGCAGAUACAAAGAAUCAAAAGAAUUCAAGAACACUUGUCUGUAUGGUAUAAUUAUGAAUGAAGAAUGAAAGAAUAUUUAGAAGAAUGUUUAAAGAACAAAAGAAUCCGAAAGUAAUCGCUUGUAUAAUAUGAUUAUGAGUGAAAUUUAAAAAUGAGAGAACUUCUGCUCAAAAAUGAUAAUAAUUGUGCAUUUCAUUGAAAUAAUGUUUUUAAACAUCAGCCUAUUUCACAAAAGAUUCUUAUUACUCCUAGGCCUAGAGCAAUAAGUGUGUUUUGGACAUUACUCGGAAUCAGUUCUAAAAACUAUAAGAAUCUCUUUCGCAGUCCAGUUAUCCAGAACUCUUCCAGGUAUGUAGGGGCAAAUGCCCGACAAAUUUUCUCUUCCAGUCUCUUCGUCGUAUGUGGCGUUGAUGUCCAAGCUUUCCAGCCUUUCUUCUAUGGCUUCUUUCAUUGGCGCGCCUCUCUCAGGAUGAAUGAUUCCUCCAGACACAAAGGUUUUCGAUAUAUGGGGGAAUAUCAUUGGCUCUCAUUUGAUUUCUCCCCCCGUUAACUGUGCUCUCCUUCUUUCUUGCUUCUUCUCCAACUCCUUUUUCCUUUGUCUCGCAUCCGGCUUAAAUCCUAAGCCGAAACGGUCCCUCUUGUCCUUCAAUCCUGGUGUUUCAAUCCUUCCUUGAAGACGCCUCCCAAGUCCUCUCCUGGGUAGGGCCCCUUUUCCGACCAUCAAUUGUAGACUCAUCCUCGUAGUUUUAGACAAUUUUGGCAUCAGAAUUUUGCUUCCCUCGGCGAUGAACAUCGCAUUAACAAACUCCAAAGACCAAAAUGGGCAUUCGAUUGCUUCGUCAUCAGUCUCCAAAUAGAGCGCAUUAUUGCUCACAGUUGCAAUGAUAUCUUCUUCAACAUUGAUCGUUAUCAACCGCCUCUCUGAUACCAACUUCAAUUUUUGAUGCAACGAUGAAGGCACUGCCCCAGAUGAAUGUAUCUAGGGCCUUCCCAAUAAACAGUUGUAUGAGGGCCUUCCCGAUCUGAAGAGGUACCUCGAUUCUGCCCAUCACCUUCAUCUCCGUGCCAUCAAAUGCUUUCACUAUGUUCUGGCACUCCUUUAUGUGAGAGCUGUCUAUAGGUAACCUGUUUAACGUAUUCAAUGGCAGGACGUUCAAGGCCGAUACGUUCUCAAUCAGUACGCCUGACAGCGUAUACCCCUUACAGCGCGUGGUAAUGUGUAAAGCUUUAGUCGAUUCCAUACCACCGGGUGGUAUCUUGUCGUCAUUGAAAAAGAUAUAUUUGUCGGCACUUAUGCUACUAACCAAACGGUCUAGCUUGUUAACGGAGAUAUCAUUAGUGACAUAUGUUUCAUUCAGGACCUUCAUCAGUGCGCUGCAAUGGACUUCCGAGCUCAAGAGUAAGGCCAACACUGAAAUACGAGCUGGUUGUUUACGUAGCUGUUCUACCAUACUAUAUUCGCUGUGUUUUAGGAAUUUCAAAAACUCUUUAGCCUCCUCCUCGUUAAUUGGUUCAUUAACAGGAAGUUCAGAUCCGGUCGCUUUUUCCUUCACCCCUUCGACCACUGAAUCUUUUCCUUUUAUGGGUUGUGCCUUCUCAUUUGCUGUAUCGUAGCAUCUCCCACUACGUGUAUAGGAGCCCCUAUCUUGGUCCUCUUUUGAAGCGUCGACCAGGCUUUCCUUUCCCAGAAUUUUCAUGUUACAAUCAUAAUUCCAUGGGACCCUUUUGUUGUCUUUGUAGGGGAAGACUGCAGGUUUCUGGAUUAUGACCCUCGGUGGUAUUUGAACUCCAGCUUCAUUAUUUUUGGGUCUCGAUAUGAUAACCACGGGGUAGUUAACCGUUUGAUUCUAUACCGUCGAUCCGCUCUCCGACGCACAUAUAUCUCCCACUACGGGGUCUUCGGUCUCUUCAUAGAAUUCCAUUUCCUUAUUGCUCAUCAUAUUCUGUAUUAAGGCCUUGAACUCCAUACACCCUUGAAUUUCAUGCCCCACCUCGUUGUGAAAUUCACAGUAGUUCCUCCAUUCUUUAGAUUCUUUCCUUGAAUCUAACGCGAUCAAUCUUCUCUUGGCCAUCUCUUUCUACACCCGUAUCAACGAGGUCCUGACUUUUGCAACCUCCCAUUUGAUCCUCUUGUUCCUGCCUUCACUUAUCCCGUUCAUUCCUUAGUCGGUAUGAUUGGGGAGCGGGUUUUCUGCUGCAUUGGGUACGGCUGGAUCAUCAAACCUCAUGAUCCUCAUCUUAAUGAGUCUUUAGACUACUUUCUUGAACACAGUACAGUUUUCGAUUAAGUUCCUGGUGAUUCCCACAUAGUAUUCACAUUAGGCAUUUGUGUCAUACCAUUUGGGAUAAGGGGGGUGUAGUGGCUUCAAGUAAAAAGGGGACACUACAUGAGCGUUGAACUAGUUCUGGUACAGCUCCCUAUACGUCAUGGGUAUAGGGGUGAACUACGGCCUUUCUGUGUUCUCCCUCACGUUAGAUUCUUGUCUUACGGAGCUACGUUGAUUGGUGGUCACCGUCUUUGACUGAUUUACGGUAAGUGACUUGGACUGACCCUUGUUGAAUUUGCCCGUGUUGUUUACUUCAUUAUCUCUUUUCUUCGGGGCUGACUUUCUUUUACUUUCUCCGGUUUCUAUCUUACAGCUCCUCACAGUAUUUUCGAUCAUUUCCCCCGUCAUUACUGUGUCAAAGAAGCUCUUGAUGGCGCUUCCCAACAUAUGAGUGAUAAAAGGAGCCUUCAAGGUGUUGAUAAAGAGCAUCGUCGUUUCCUUUUCUAGAAACGGUGGCUGAACUUGUAUGGCCACUUCUCUCCACCUUUGUGUGUACUAUCUAAAACUUUCAUUUGACUUCUUCUCCAUGUUCUGGAGAGUGAUUCUGUCGGGGGUCAUGUCCGUCACAUGACUGUAUUGUUUUAUAAAGGCCUGGGUCAGAUCCUUCCACGAGUUAAUUUUAGCGCAGCUUAAUUGGUUAUACCACUUAGAUGCCACCCCAACCAAACUAUCUUGAAAACAGUGGAUUAAUAGCUAGUCAUUGUUAACGUAUUCCGUCAUUCGCUUGUAGAACAUAGUGAUGUGAGCUUCAGGACAGCUCGUUCUAUUAUACUUCUCGAAUUUGGGCAUUUUGAAUUUGGGGGGUAGGACCAAACUUAAGUCCUUAGCAUCAAUCCCUUGAUGAUUAUCUGCGCUUUCCAUAGCUCUGAAUUUCUCCUCGAGCCAUCUACACUGUUCUUCCAAUUGUUUCUGCGAAUUUAUCCUUGCCCUUUCUUCUUCAGCAACUUCAUCCAAAUAGAAACGGGCGGAUAAUUUGGGUUAUUAACGAGGUUAGAGCUUGAGCCGGCUUAGAAAUUCAUUGGUAUCGAAGCUCCGGCCUGAAUCUAUUGAGGCAUGAUCGUAAUUGAUGGUUUUUGUAGAUUAAUCUCGGGCUUCAUCGGUACAUGUGUUGGAGUGAAGCCAGGGGGUAUUGAGGAUCUUUAUUAGUUUCCUCAGCUUUGUCUAUGGGGCCCUUUCCCUUAUCCGUUCCUCCCAAAAACAAUUGGGAUAACUGGCUCAUCAUUUCUCUCUGGGAUUCCAUCAUUUUCUCUUUCAUCUCUCACUGAAUCUUGGCUAGCUGCUCUUGCAUCUGAGACUGCAUUUGUUCCUGCAUGUUCUUUUGCAUUUGCUCCAGUUUCUCAAGUCUUUGUCCAUUGACUUUUUCUUUGUACCGUAGGGGCGAGUAGUUGGUUGGUUUUCGUUAGUUUCCAGGUUACUGAAAUGAUUUUUGAUUAAUUAAUUAGGAACCUCUUAUGACCUUUAAUGCAUAAUGAUAUGAUGUAAUGCAAAUGCAUGAAUGCAAAUGAGGCAUCAAUUUUGAUUCAAUUCCCUUUAGAAAACUUCACUAGAAAAUAAAAUUCUUUUACAUAAAGUUGAGUUACAAAUAAAAUUUUGCUCGAGUGCUUAAAAUCUUAAUUUUCCUAAGCAAUGAGGCCAGCUCCUGUCCGCGAUCCGACUCCAACUCAUACUUCACGCUCAGUGUGUCCGCCUAGACAACUAAAGCUUGCAAGUAGUCAGCUAUCUCCCGAAUUUGGGUUAUGGCUUCCCCCAUAAAGUAAUCUUUGUUUCUGACUUGGUCUUGCGCAUGGUGAAGCUGUUCUUUCCAACGGUCCUCAUUUGCCUCGAAAAACUGAAUCCGUAUCUCACAGUUUUGCAGUGACGCCUCUAACUCUUCUAUUUUUCCUUUCAUUUCCUCUAUCUUGCUAAGCUUGCCCUCAAUUACAUUGCGGUGUUGCGGUUUCGGUACUGAUGAAAAGACUUCUCGAGUUCCGCUACUCUAGCCUUUAAUUCCCCUCGCUCAUUUCUGCUUUCCGAAAGACUCUUCUCUAAAUCUUCAUUUCGUGCCUGAGCUUCUCAAAAUUUCCUUUCCCACCGGUCGGCAUUGGUUUUUUCUUCUCGAAUUUCAUGGUGCCAUUUUUCGGAAGUCUUACCUAACCCCGUAGUCCUAAUAGAUAGGCGUAACUUUUUGUAGUCAGUCUUCAAGCUGUCUAGAUCUUCUUCGGCCUUAGUUUUCCCUUUUCUCCACUUUUCAGCUUCUGAUCUCUAGACAUCCGCGUCUAAUCUCAGGUGCAUCUUCUCUUCCUCCAAUUGUUUGAUCUUUUUUCCAAGCUCCGAACUCUUCUUCUCGAAGUCUUGCUUUAUAAUUUCCAACUCUGACGGGGCGACUUGCAAUUGUUCCCCCAUAGGUCGAGUAUUUUCCAAGCAUGGCCUAGGAACGUUAUCAUUAACCCUCUUUUUAAACCAUCCAUCAUACUCAGGCGUUACCAUAGAACCGACGGCCAACCUUUUCAUUCAACAAGUUUGCUUCCAAGCAUCCGAUAGCUCCUGAACUUUCUUCUUAUAGUGAGCACCUUUAAAAGAGAAUUCACUCUGAGCAAGUCCAUAGGUCGUGGGUACAAACUGCUUCGAUUUAUAUUGUCUCAAGGCUAGCAAUGGAGUAUACGCGGUAGCUCCCCAAAUUCCUAACAAUGGCACCCAAUCAAAGUUACCACAUCGGUACAUGAUCUCAUCAGGAACCAUCCAAUAAGCUCUCCACUCGAUAUCCCUCUCCUUGAGGUUUUAAAGAAUUUCCAUCCACUUCUCCUCCGAGAUAUCCUCUCUCCUUUGUAUAGCUGUCUCCUCUUUUAGCGGGAAAUAACCUUUGGAAAAGACCCGAUAAGAAACAUUGUCUACCUUCCAAAAAUGCCUAUGAAACCAUACUAUCAAUAAUUGUGCACAUCCAAUAAACCGCCCCUCGUCUGUCUUCCGACAUAAGCUCAAAGAUCUGAACGUCUUAGUCAAUAUGGCCGGUACCGGUGUGAUUCCCUUCUCAAGGCGAUUGAAUAAGUCAAUGACUGCCUCGUCCACAUGCCUCAAAGCCUUAGGAAAAAUUACCAAUCCGUAGAUGCUUAAGGCGAAGAUAUCGACCCUCUUUCUUUCAUCUGGAUGCGUCAAAAACAAAUCUCGCAAAUUCUCCCAAGGGAUACAUUUACUAUCUCCUUUUUGUUGAAUCCGAGCAGUGACCCAAGGCUCGCUCAUCCCGAAAAUGCUCAUCAAUUUCUUCAUGAAAGUCUGACCACUAAAAACCCGGGCAUAAGUCUUUCGGACCUGAAUUUUUGGACACCUGAGCAGAGUAGUGUAUUCCUCCAUGGUAGGUACCAAAUCCACUUCUCUAAAAGUGAAACACUUGUAAGCAAAAUUCCAAAACUGCACCAUAACUCGGAACAUAUGGUUAUCCACUCUAAUGUCUAGCAAAUAGGAUAUAUCACCAUAACUUUGAUAAAACAACUGCUUGAUCCCUUCAUCCCAACUAGCCCAAAUGUCUCUCAACUCUUGCAGCUCAUUCUGUACUACAUUGACGCGAGUGAAAUCCUGCAACUCCGAUAUAUACCCUUUUGUCAAGCUAUCCCCUCUCUCUGAUUGUAGCUUCUCCGACCAUGCACGAACGGCCCCAUUAUCCUCGACUUUACUAAGAAAUUCAUUCUCCAUGUCAAACUUUCUAACUUAGUAAUUGAAUACGAAUCAACACCUCCUUUAGUAUGCAAUGUCAUGCAAAAAAAAUCAAAACAAAACACAGGUUAGUAUCAAAUAAUAGUGAUAAAAUGCAAGCACAUAAACGAUAAUUACAACGUAUAUACGGGUAAAUACUAAGGCUUGACGCGGCUCUACCCAAGGAUAGCUCCCAAGGUUCACUAUAUGUGGUUCGGUCUAGGGAUAAGGUACCCGAACCAGCAGAUUCCUCAAUCCUCACCCAUUAUAGGCCCAUAUAGAUCGAGUUCGAUUCAGGGGGAUACAUUUACCUAUGACCAUGCAGAGAUGAAAAUCUCACGAAAUCAUAGGUACGGAUGUACCCCGAAAGCAAUCCACUAGCCUAUGCGGAGGUGAAAACCUCACGAAAGUGUAGUUUCUCACUCCCACUUAGAGGGUGUGACCACAGCGGUUAUGCAAUGAAAUGCAGUAUUACUCUACGAGACCCGAACCAUAACAACCAUACAAACAAAUGCAUUUGAAAGACACAUGAUUUUUAAAACAAAUUUUUGAUUUUUGACAAAAGGACAGCAAAUAAUCGAUUUUAUGGCUUGACUCUCAGAUCCCCAGUGGAGUCGCCAAGCUGUCGAAACCACCCUUCUUUCAAAAUUUUAAAUUUUACGAAAAAAAAUGGGGAAUCGACUUUUUGAAAAUAAAAUAUGGAGUCGCCACCGAUCUUUUAUUUUGGUGUGAUCGGAUCACUUAAGAAUUUGGUUAUUUUAAUAAAACAUUUUGGUUUACUAGAACAAAGAUUUUGGUCUACAAACUUUUGAAAAAACGGGUUCGGGAGUCGGUUACGCAUGAGGAAGGAUUAGCACCCUCACUACGCCCAAAAUUGGUACCGAAUCGAUUAAAUAAUAUCCUUAUGUCUAAAAUUUAAAGAUGUUUUUGAAGUGUGGUUCUUUUUUUUAGUAACCCGAGUUGGUUGCCAAAAAUCUUCUUGUUUCGACUUCUGAAAGUUUAUAAUUCGAAAAUUACAAAAGGAUGCCCAACUAUUUGGUCCAACGAAAAACCGAAACCCAGCACAGUAGGGCACGAUUCCUCGAAUUUCCAAACAUUGAACAUUGCCUCACCUUAGAAAAUACGAGUGAAAUUCCAAAGGGAUCUUUGAUUGUUUUGAACAAAUGAAAAAGCGCAACUCAGCACGAUAGGGCACGAUUCUUAAAUCGCCAAACAUCGAACAUCACGUUCGUUUUGAAAAGUUUUUAAUAAACAUGAGUAAAAACCUAGAAGAAUAUUCGAUUGUUUUGAGCAAACGAGAAAUCACAACCCAGGACGAUAUGGCAUGAUUCUCAAAUUGUCAAACACUGAGUAUUGCUUUCGUUUUCAAGAAUUUUUAGAAGACAUGGGUGAAAUUUUGAAGGGAUAUUCGAUUAUUUUGAGCAAACGUGAAAUUGCAACCCAGCACAUUAGGGCACGACUCUGCGAAUUGCCAAAUAUCAAAUCUCGUCUUCGUUUUAAAGAAUUUUUAAGUGAAUAAUUAUAAAACUAGCUUAAAAUGUAUUAAUGCAUUUUUGAAAUGAGAUUAAUUUAAUCAUAAAAAUUUGGAUUUUAAAAAAAAAACCACAUUUCAUAAACCAAGUAGAAAACGACGAUAUGGGGUAACAGGUGCACAUGUGAUACGAUACUUGAUGAAUGAGAAUAUUAAUUAACUAGCAGAAUAAGCAAUUAAAUAUGAUUAAUCUAAAAAUCAUGGCCUAAUCUCAAUCACGUAUGAAGAACAAUUAACAAUUCAAUAAGAUGAAUACCAUGCAAUGAUAAUAUAUAUAUUCAUGCUAUAAUAUAUGAAAAAACAAGAAGAUAUGUGCAAGGCAAAAUGGAAUGUAGAAAUCAAAAUGGUAUAAGAUUAAUAAGCUUAAGACAUAUAGGUUUACAAGCUUGAAUAAAAACUAGGAAUAUAUAACCAUAGAAAUAGAUAUUAUAAAAUAAAAGUUCGAAUCAAAUUGCACGUAAAAUAUUUUAAACACGAAUCCAUUUAGAAGUUAACAAAAUACAUGAUAAUUUUAAUAAUAUAUAAUACAAAAGAAUAAUAAGGAUACAAGACGAAACAUAACACACAAAAUAGAUUUAAAAGACAUAUGUACAUGUAAAUCUAUUGUAAAAAACAAUCAUGAAAUUAAUAAUAAUAUAUAUAUAUAUAAAUUUUAAGUUAGUUUAAAAAUUAUAUACAUACCCUUAUAUCAAAACAUUUAAAUAAAAGGCUAUAUAAAACACAAAAGUAAUAUAAUAUAAAAAAAAUUAAAAAUAAUAAUUUUAUAAUUACAAAAAUGAAGUUUCUAAAAUUGCUUCGUAUAUAUAUACAUAAUUAUUAAAAUAUAUGUUAUGGAAUAAAUAUUUUUAAUCGAAUAACAUACAAAAUAUUGAAGAAUAUUAGCUUAAGAUUGACAAUUUUCAUAAAAAAAAUUUUAAAUUAUGUACCAAAUAUGAAAAGAUUAAAAAAAGUAUAAUAAAAUAUAAUCUUAGAAAUAUAAUAAAUUUACAAAUCAUAUAUAUAUACAUAAAUGCACACAAGGUUAAAUUAUUUUUACUACAUGUGUAUAAAUAUGUAUAAAAGUGUUUAAAGAUAUUAGAAUUGUACGAUAUAAAGAGGAAAUUCAAACAAUAAUUUUAUAAUCACAAAAAUGAAUUUUAAAAUAACAGCUUAGCUAUUAAAACGAUGCAUGUACAAAUAUAUACAAAAUAUUUAAAUGAGAUGUUAUACUAAAUGCAUAAAUAAUAUAAUAAAAAGAACUCCAAAAUAAUUAUCCAAUUAAAAACAAAGCAAAAUUAUUAAAAUAAAUCAACACCUAUAAAAUAUUAAACGAAUUUAAAGUAGUAAUUUAUGUCAAUAAAAAUUCAAUUAUAACUAAAUAAAAUUUAAAGGGAUAAUUUGUAAAUAAAAUAGAGCAUUAAAAUGUAAAAAGGACUAACACGCCACGAACGCGAAUGCUCAGGGACCAAAUCUGGAAAUAUUUCAGAUCCAAAAUACUGCAUUGAAGCGUUGCUAAAUUGAUAUGAUUUCUUAAUCCAGAUGCCAUUUUAAAAAAAACAACUAAAGUACAAAUAGGGCCUAAUCCAACAUCAGAGUGAAUGAGAGGGGUCAGCGUGCAAAUCUCCCAAUUUAAGCAAACACACAUGAAUUUGGCCUGCUAAACGAUCAACAUGCAGGCCUUUACCCUUUGGAAUGGCACAGUUUUCUAAACCUGAUAUUAAAACCCCCAUUUUCAUUUAUUUGCCUUUCAAAAUGCUAAUAAUCUUUAAGCUCCCCCCCUUUUUUUUAAAAAAAAAGAAUAACCCUUAAUCUGCUCUGUUAGGAUCGGUUCAGCAUGCAGCCGUCGAACACCAUCCAUUCGAUGGCCGACGACGUGAACAACGACCAGAUUUCACCAAUCGGGGCCGUGACCACUGAGAUCUGGUAACUUUGCUUCUUCUUUUUAUUUUUUUUUUAAAAAAAAGGUUUUGAUUCCUAUGAUAUUCUUUGGAAAAUGAAACAAACUUGGAAGAUUUAAACAGUAUCCCGAUACCAUUCGACCCUCGCCCACAUCUAUAUAUUUUCGAGAUGUUUGGGCUCUCAUCGGCGUCGAUUCGGGUACCCACUUCAUGUAUUCAUGCCUAAGUUGCAAGCCAAUCGCAAGAAACAAAAAAAGAAAGAAAAAAAAACAGAUUUGGAAAUCACCUUCCGAUAACUUUCGACUUGAUUUCUUUUGAUAUUCAGUGUGCGUAAUAUGUUUGUGUUUGCGUAUUGUGCGAAUAUUGUCUCUAUUUUUGUAACCUUUGCAGAGAUUAAGAACUAUGGCUUUAUAACCGAAAAGAAAAAAAGAAAAAGGAAAAUAAAUUAAAAAUACAAUUUUCAUUCCCUUCUAUUUGCUGUUCUGCUGUUUUUUGUUUGUAUUUGCUGCCGUGUUCGUCCUUCUUGCAGGUACAGGGUACGUUGACAUCGUACGGAGGUUGUGCUGGCACGGGCGUGGCUGCUGGAGGGUACGGAGCGAGGCUGGGGGUUGUAUGCGCCUGGAGGCUACGGUACUAAGCAAGGGCUAGGGUUUCUGAACUUUGGUUUAGGUAUUGGGCCUAUUGGGCCGUUUGGAUUUUGGGUUAUACAUUAGUUUGGGCUUUGAUUGGUUAUUGGUUUGUAAAAGGACACUUAAUUAUUGGGUUUUUUAUUAUAAUUAUUUUUUGGUUUAUUUUUUGUCUUGUUUUGUGUUUGCAUAGGCCCGGGCCAAAAUUGGUCAUUACAAAAAAUGUAUAUAAUUUUUAUUGCAUCAACUAUAAGUGUCUGAAAUUUAAAAUAAUUUUACUUUAAUAUUAAAAUCAAUGACUUUUCUG
rnacentral:lncRNA from 1 species